GUGCUCACUUCAGCAGCACAUAUACUAAAAUUGAAACGAUACAGAGAAGAUUAGCAUGGCCCCUGUGCAAGGAUGACACGCAAAUUGAUGAAGUGUUCCAUAUUUAA
ensembl:snRNA U6 U6 spliceosomal RNA